GACGAACGCUGGCGGCGUGCUUAACACAUGCAAGUCGAACGAAGAGCGACGGAAGCUUGCUUCUAUCAAUCUUAGUGGCGAACGGGUGAGUAACGCGUAAUCAACCUGCCCUUCAGAGGGGGACAACAGUUGGAAACGACUGCUAAUACCGCAUACGAUCUAACCUCGGCAUCGAGGAUAGAUGAAAGGUGGCCUCUACAUGUAAGCUAUCACUGAAGGAGGGGAUUGCGUCUGAUUAGCUAGUUGGAGGGGUAACGGCCCACCAAGGCGAUGAUCAGUAGCCGGUCUGAGAGGAUGCACGGCCACAUUGGGACUGAGACACGGCCCAGACUCCUACGGGAGGCAGCAGUGGGGAAUCUUCCGCAAUGGACGAAAGUCUGACGGAGCAACGCCGCGUGAGUGAUGACGGCCUUCGGGUUGUAAAGCUCUGUUAAUCGGGACGAAAGGCCUUCUUGCGAAUAGUGAGAAGGAUUGACGGUACCGGAAUAGAAAGCCACGGCUAACUACGUG
rnacentral:rRNA from 1 species